rnacentral:rRNA from 2 species
UGACCCCAGGUCAGGCGGGGCCACCCGCUGAGUUUAA